UUUAACAAAUUAGUACUCAAUUACGAAAUCGAGUUAUAUAAUCCUCUUAAGGAAUCUUGAGAAGUAUAAAUAUCCUCUACUCUCUCCUACACGGUUGCGCUCAGAAAGAAACCCUAGACGAGGUGCAAUCGUCGAAUUGGAUCCCUAAGGUUCAGAUAAGUACGGAGUUUGUUUUGAUGCCCUUUAGUUUGCUAUAAGCGUUCUGUUUGUUUGUCCGAAAGGAAAAAUGAUCGGUUCCAUAUUACCCUUGCCAGCUCCUCCUACUGAUGGAAACCUGGGGCCUUUACCGCUAGCCCAGGUCACUGAAGUGAAGAAUGAAGAGAAUGAAUUGAACGAGGAGCUGAACAGAGCCAACUCGGUGCCUGUCUCAGUUGCUACGCAUACUAGGACGAUUGGUAUCAUACAUCCUCCUCCCGAUAUCAGAAACAUUGUUGACAAAACUUCCCAGUUUGUCGCAAAGAAUGGACCAGAAUUUGAGAAGAGGAUUAUAGCUAGUAAUAACGGAAAUCCAAAGUUUAACUUUUUGAGUUCCUCAGAUCCGUACCAUGCCUAUUAUCAGCACCGGUUGUCUGAAUUUCGUGCCCAGGCUCAGUCUUCUGGCCAGCAACCUUCUUUGGAGCCUGAUGAUUCUGCUGCACCUGAAUCAGGCCUGCCAGCUCCAGCUGCUGAUGGUGAAGCAGAAACAACUAAGCCUGAUCCCUCUGCCCAGUUUAGACCGGUACGAAAAGUUCUUGAACCACCAGAAGCCGAGCAGUAUACUGUUAGGCUUCCAGAAGGGAUUACUGGAGAAGAAUUGGAUAUUAUUAAGCUCACAGCCCAGUUUGUUGCUCGAAAUGGGAAAUCAUUUUUGACAGGAUUGACAAGCAGAGAGAUCAAUAACCCCCAGUUCCAUUUUCUGAAGCCUACCCAUAGUAUGUUCAUGUUUUUCACUUCUCUGGCCGAUGCAUAUUCGAAGGUCUUGAUGCCUCCAAAAGGUUUGACAGAGAAGCUUAAGAAAGGUGUUGCAGACAUGACAACUGUGCUUGAACGCUGUGUGCAUCGGCUGGAGUGGGAGCGAUCUCAAGAGCAGGCAAGGCAGAAGGCUGAAGAUGAGAUAGAGCAGGAAAGGAUACAAAUGGCUAUGAUUGAUUGGCAUGAUUUUGUUGUGGUUGAAACAAUAGACUUUGCUGAUGAUGAGGAUGAGGAUUUACCUCCUCCAAUGACCCUUGAGGAGGUUAUAAGAAGAAGCAAGGUUACAGAUAUGGAAGAAGAUAUUAUUGAGCCUGGAAAGGAGAUGGAAAUGGAAAUGGAUGAAGAAGAAAUGCAGCUUGUUGAAGAGGGCAUGAGGCAAGCAAGACUUGAAGAGAGCAAUGAACAGAAGAAUGAGAAUAAGGUAACAGAUGAUCCUGAACCCCCAAUGAGAAUUGUGAAGAACUGGAAGAGACCUGAGGAGAGGAUUCCUGCUGAAAGAGAUCCAACAAAGGUUGUCAUUUCCCCGAUUACUGGGGAGCUUAUCCCUAUCAAUGAGAUGUCUGAACAUAUGAGAAUUUCGCUCAUUGAUCCAAAAUACAAAGAGCAAAAAGAAAGGAUGUUUGCGAAGAUUAGGGAGACUACUCUUGCUCAGGAUGAUGAAAUCUCAAGGAACAUUGUGGGCCUUGCACGAACCCGUCCGGAUAUUUUUGGUACUACAGAGGAAGAAGUUUCUAAUGCUGUCAAGGCUGAGAUCGAGAAAAAGAAAGAUGAGCAACCAAAGCAGGUCAUAUGGGAUGGUCACACUGGAAGCAUUGGCCGUACAGCAAAUCAGGCCAUGUCACAGAAUAUCAAUGGAGAGGAUCAGAACGAUGUUAACAAUCUUCCUGGUCCAGCAGCGCCUCCUCCAAGACCUGGUGUGCCUUCAAUUCCUCGUCCUCUUCCCCCACCACCUGGUCUUGCCUUGAAUCUUCCUCGUGUUCCUCCAAACACAGUUCAGUAUUCUGCUCCAUCUAGUGGUGGCCUCCCAGUACCUCAACUGAGGCCGCCAGUCCAAUAUUCAUCAGUUCGACCACCUGGACCUCCAAUGCCCAUGAGUUCUGGACAGCAGUCACUUUUGGUGAAUCGACCACCACCUAUGCAUCCAUCAAUGUCUAUGAAUGCUCCUAGUAAUCCGGUACCUCCUCCACCUGGUUCUCAGUUUACACCUAUGCAAGCUCCCCGGCCUUAUAUGCAAAUGAUGCCUCCACCACCUUCAAUGCAAAUGAUGCCUCCACCACCUAUGCCUCAUGGAAUGAUGCCUCCGCCACCUCCACCUGAGGAAGCUCCUCCACCGCUCCCAGAGGAACCUGAGCCCAAGCGGCAGAAGCUUGAUGACUCCAUGCUUAUUGCAGAAGAUAAAUUUCUGGCACAGCAUCCGGGGCCUCUUCGUAUCACCGUAUCUGUUCCCAAUGUUGAUGAAGGCAAUCUCAAAGGACAACUUUUGGAGAUCACAGUUCAGUCUUUAUCUGAAACUGUUGGAAGUCUGAAAGAGAAAAUUUCUGGGGAGAUCCAGCUUCCGGCAAACAAACAGAAAUUGAGUGCAAAACCUGGCUUUCUCAAGGACAAUUUGUCUCUUGCAUAUUACAAUGUUGGAGCAGGAGAAACGCUUGCUCUUUCAUUGAGAGAACGAGGUGGUAGAAAGCGAUGAACAGAUAUUUUCAUGAGGCUGAUUAAGAUCUGGUGUUUCGGCGAAUGUCUAUUGGACAAAGGGAAGUGUCGGUUCCUUUUGCUUAGCCGGAGCAAGUGAUUUGCUUAUAUAUCUAAUUAUUGCUCCUUUUCAUAAUGCAGUUUUUUUUUUUCUAUGGAAAGUAUGUGCUCAUAGUCGUAUUAUGAUUUUGAUAUCCCUGGCAGCAUUGUUGGUGUCAGAAGACCUUUAUUUAUUUUGAAAUAUUUUCAGUCUUCGCUUCCAAUUUUGUUGCUGAAAGAUUCUCUCGGUGAAUGUUGGUAUUUUGGGUCUUUCUUUUUAGUUUCACUUUUUUAGUUUAGCUUUUACAGCACCUUAAGCAAAACACUUGUUCCACAGAAGCUUGUAUUCUUAUUCACCCAAGUUAUCACUGAACCAGCCAGUAGCAAGCAGUGGCUGGUAGAGUUGGUGUUUUCUGAUUAUGAUUGUUAACUACAGGAUUGGGCUAUGGUCUGUGCAACAAGUUAGAUGUGUGCUCUUCAUGCAUCUAAACCAGCCUGGACUGGGACCACUGGGUUUGAUUGCAACAUCAUGUUAGAGGAACAAGCAGGAUUUUAUAUCUAAUUUUCUUUAGGAUUAUUACAGCAGUGCGCUGCUCUAAUUACGCUUGAGAUAGCAUAGGAAUCUGGCAGCACAAUCUGUGUUAAGCUAGCUGUUGAUUGGGAAUUUUUUCAUUGUUUCAGACCCACUCCUCUUUUUUCCCAUGUCAGAGAAGAUAUAGAAUAUUGCCCUUAGAGUUUGUGGAUGAGUUGGUCUAUUUUUUGUUGACAAUUCCCUUAAAGUCUGGGUGGCAAUUUUAGUCUUGUAUCUGUCACCCACCUUACAAGCAAGAUGAAAUUAAGGUCGUAUAUCCUAUUCUAGCA